rnacentral:rRNA from 1 species
AUACGUAGGGUGCAAGCGUUAAUCGGAAUUACUGGGCGUAAAGCGCACGCAGGCGGUUGGAUAAGUUAGAUGUGAAAGCCCCGGGCUCAACCUGGGAAUUGCAUUUAAAACUGUCCAGCUAGAGUCUUGUAGAGGGGGGUAGAAUUCCAGGUGUAGCGGUGAAAUGCGUAGAGAUCUGGAGGAAUACCGGUGGCGAAGGCGGCCCCCUGGACAAAGACUGACGCUCAGGUGCGAAAGCGUGGGGAGC